rnacentral:piRNA from 1 species
UAGAAGGAUACAUAGUAGUUCUAUCUUGGGU